rnacentral:rRNA from 1 species
AUGCGGGCUGCCAAGAUUCGAGAUGUCGAGGCUGUUUUAGGUUUGUCAGUUAACACUGAGUUUUUAGUUUUGCAUUUUUCUGAGAAUGAUAUUAUGCAUAGGGCUGAUAGUUUAAGUAUUUCUUUGGGGAGUAGCAAUAGUGAGGUUGCAGCUUCCAUUAACGAUUUACUUGAUCUAGAGGCUGAUCGCGCACUUAAUAUGCUUAAAACCAUAGCAGCUGUCAAACCAAUGAAAGAAAGCGAAAUUAAUGAACUAGGAGUUAAUGAAUUGGAGGUGUUAUGUGAGGAUUUAGUCCUGAGAAAUUUUUUAGAAGGGGAGAACGUGGUUGUGGAUGGGCAUGCGGCCGAUCUACAACCAUAUGAUGGUCUUGGCAACGAGCACGGUCAUGCGGAUUGUGAACUCAAAUCGGCAGCACCUAGGCGUAAACGGCAGAAGAAUUACGAUCUUUCUGCGAUACGGUGA